AAUCUAAAUAUGAUAACACGGCUGUUGUAAGUAACAGAGGCUGUGUGGAAUGCACACUUUGGAACUAUUUGAUAAGAACUGAGCAGGUUAUCGAUGCAGAAGGAUAUCACAGACAAGGAACAGAAACACUCUCGCCUAUAAACUCGGUUAGUCGGCUGGACAGUCGACUUAACUCUCAAAUCGGUCACAAGCUAUGACGCAAUCCGACAGGAUUCUGGGAAUUAAACAGCGGGGGACAUUUUCAGUUGUAUAUGAACGUAUGGAACAGUGGUUCUCAAAGUACUAUAGUGGAUUUCACUCUGACUGUAACAGUGGCUUAUAGCACUUAGCUGAUUUAAAGUACGUGUUAAUUACGGUAUUGUACAAAAGCGCCAAUAUUACUUGGAACAUGGAAACCUUCAUAACCUUCAAAUUGAAGAGCAACUGUUGACUUUGAACAAAUAUUAACUAGUUUGACUGAACACAUCAAAAUGGGAUUAAGAUGCAUUGUAACUUGUUUUUAGUUGUUAGGCAAAUCAGUAAACCAAUAGUUCAUUCAAAGUGUGGACCAGUGCAGGCACAGACUGGAAUGUCGGGGCACUGUAAUCUCCCUCAGAAUUUUUCUACAUUUUGAGCUGCAGAACUGCAUUAAAAAAAUAUCCCAAUGCCUCUUCAACAUCAAGGCUUUUUCAGCAACACUUUGCACACAAUUUCAUCCAGACUU